AUGCGGGGCUCUCAAUUCUGAUCCGCUGCAUCGGUGAUGGUUGGGAGCCCUGCUUGAGCUUGAAUAAAUGACCCUCAUGUGCUUGCAUCAGAAACAGCUUCCUGGUGGUCUUUGGGGACUUCGCAAUCUGGGCACAACAAAAGUAUGACUAUAACUAAGGCCUGAUGUCACCUUGCCUGGCGAGCUGGCUAUGGCAUGUGGAAACAUAACUCCAUUUUGCUUCUGGUCACAAAUUGAAGCCUCAAUGGUCCAAUGAUACUGUGAAACUCAAGGUUAAAUCCACCAUUGUAUGUAGAUCUCUAACUUUGUGUUCUGAAACAAUACUUAAUGUGGAUUGUCUUCUGAAGAAACUGAGAGGGAUUCUCAUGCUCCUUUUUCUCAAGUCUCCCUUCUACUUUCUUCUCUCUUUCUCUGUCUGCUCUGUCUGUCUCUGUUUCUCUCUCUUUCUAAGGUUCCAUAUAUGAGAGAAAAUGUUAUAUUUGACUUUCUAGGUCUAGUUUAUUUUGCUUAACAUCAUGAUCACUGUGAGACCAAAGCGACUCCAUUUUGCUAAAAUCCACUAUUCCCCUAGUCUCUAUUGCCUUCACAAAUUAAUGGUUAAAAUGUGCUUGCUCUGGGACAAAAGACACAAUCUGUAAAGAAGCAAAGUUCCAAAGUUAAUUACUCAACCAUCUGUUUGCCCAGGAAAUGAACGUUCCGGGUCCACUAUCUAUAGAACAAUCUUGUCAAUGUGCUGACCAUCAGUACGUGACAGUCGACCACUAACCUUUGUCCCUCUUUUCCCUCGUAAAACCUACAUGUAACCACCCCUCAACCCCCUAUGGGCCUAGCCAAUCAGAAAUAUACACUUCAUGCUUGCUAAAUGCCA
rnacentral:lncRNA from 1 species